rnacentral:lncRNA from 1 species
GGUUCGUUCGCUUCGCUUCUUCCACACCCUUUCUCCCUCCUCUUUCUCCUCGCUCCACCUUCCCUCCGCUUCUCCUCAACCCCUCUAGUUUCUUCCCCGCCUCACCAUCUUCUACGCUCUCGCGAGACUUGGCCCAGAACAUUGCGGAUCGGGUCGGCGCCAUUUUGGGACUGAGGCUGGUUGUGGGGGAGGGAAAAGCGGCAAAAGGGGAUUAUUCAAAGUACCGAAAACCUCCUCCCGGGAUCGAGCGUAGCAGCACCCCCAGGCCAGGGGCACCUCUGGUGGGGCAGAAGGUGAUUGAAUUAUUCAGAUAUGAAGAUCAUCUUCUAGGUUUUGUGUAAAAGGCCCCGGAUAUUUCAAGUGGCCAUUUUGGAAUUACAAUGUUUUUGGAUAAUUUUGCCCUAGAAGUUUGUUAAAAUUGGCACGAACCAUCUCUGAAGUGAAUUGAUAGUAGUGAACAAAUUCAACAAGCUACUUAAAAAAAGACCCAACUAUUUCUUCAGUAUUUUGGUUCAAACGGAUUAUAUAACUGGCUAAAGUAUUUCAGCUGGUGGUAUUUUUGCUUCCCCCUCCCUUUUGUUGGUGUUCUUCAGCCAAAACUGUAAGAUAUGUUUGAUUUGUGUACUGAGUAGCUUCAGCAGUUUCAAAUUGCUGUGUAAAAAUUGCUGAAGUUUUAUGGCAGUUUAUUUUUACCUUUAUUAAAAUUUUAGGAAUUUUUGACCUUAACUCUUCAUGUCACAAUGGAACAGCUUUUCUAAAUGAAGACAUUGAAAGAAUAUAGAGUUUUUUUCUUUUUAUCUUUUAUUUACAUGGAAAUUUAAGAUGUUACAGUUUCCCACCAGCAUGGUUGUAUUGAGAUAGCUAUUUGUAUAUGCUGAUGUUUAGAAAUACUCUUCAGAUGUGAAAUUUUCUUUUUUCUGCUCCUUGGCUCAUAAAUUGGAUAUUUCAUCUGGAUUGGAUAAAGUACAACAGUGACAAGUACAUGGAAUAAUAAAGAAGACUUUGCUCUUAAAUCCA